rnacentral:rRNA from 1 species
GACGAACCGUGCAAACGUUAUUCGGAAUCACUGGGCAUAAAGGGCGCGUAGGCGGCUCCAAAAGUCAGGGGUGAAAUCCGGCAGCUUAACUGUCGCAGUGCCUUUGAUACUGUGGAGCUAGAGGGAGGUAGGGGUCUGUGGAACUUCCGGUGGAGCGGUGAAAUGCGUUGAUAUCGGAAGGAACGCCGGUGGCGAAAGCGGCUUUCUGGUCUGCUCUUGACGCUGAGGCGCGAAAGCUAGGGUAGCAAACGGG